UACGGAGGGUGCAAGCGUUGCUCGGAAUUAUUGGGCGUAAAGGGUAGGUAGGUGGUCUCAUUUGUCUGGGGUGAAAGCCUUGGGCUUAACCCAAGAAGUGCCCCGGAAACGGUGAGACUAGAGUGCUGGAGAGGUUCGUGGAAUUCCCGGUGUAGCGGUGAAAUGCGUAGAGAUCGGGAGGAACACCAGAGGCGAAGGCGGCGAACUGGACAGUGGACUGACACUCAACUACGAAAGCGUGGGGAGCAAACAGGG
rnacentral:rRNA from 1 species